rnacentral:pre_miRNA from 7 species
UUUUCAGAUCAACCAGGAGUCCUCUGCAAGAGCUGUAAGACCCCCUUUCGGGGACCCCCACUCUAGUCUUGGGAGAGAGAGCACACCCAAAGAAACAUGAGAAUCC